rnacentral:rRNA from 1 species
UACGUAGGGUGCGAGCGUUGUCCGGAAUUAUUGGGCGUAAAGAGCUUGUAGGCGGUUUGUCGCGUCUGCCGUGAAAAUUCGAGGCUCAACCUCGAACUUGCGGUGGGUACGGGCAGACUAGAGUGUGGUAGGGGUGACUGGAAUUCCUGGUGUAGCGGUGAAAUGCGCAGAUAUCAGGAGGAACACCGAUGGCGAAGGCAGGUCUCUGGGCCACUACUGACGCUGAGAAGCGAAAGCAUGGGGAGCGAACAGG